rnacentral:rRNA from 1 species
GCCUACAGCCACACCACCCUGAUAACACCCGAUCUCGUCUGAUCUCAGAAACUAAGCAGGGUCAGGAUCCGUUAAUACUCGGAUGGGAGACCGCCUGGGAAUCCCGGGUGCUGUAAGAU